GACGAACGCUGGCGGCGUGCCUAAUACAUGCAAGUCGAGCGGACUGAUUAAGAGCUUGCUCUUAUGACGUUAGCGGCGGACGGGUGAGUAACACGUGGGCAACCUGCCCUGUAGAUCGGGAUAACACCGAGAAAUCGGUGCUAAUACCGGGUAAUAUCUGAGAUCACAUGAUCUUAGGUUAAAAGAUGGCUCCGGCUAUCACUACAGGAUGGGCCCGCGGCGCAUUAGCUAGUUGGUAAGGUAAUGGCUUACCAAGGCGACGAUGCGUAGCCGACCUGAGAGGGUGAUCGGCCACACUGGGACUGAGACACGGCCCAGACUCCUACGGGAGGCAGCAGUAGGGAAUCUUCCGCAAAGGACGAAAGUCUGACGGAGCAACGCCGCGUGAGUGAUGAAGGGGUUCGGCUCGUAAAGCGCUGUUGUUAGGGAAGAAACAGUACCGAACGAACUAGGUCGGUACCUUGACGGUACCUAACCAGAAAGCCACGGCUAACUACGUG
rnacentral:rRNA from 1 species